AUUGAAGCCUUUUUUCUCCAGUCUCUCAGUCCUCAGAGCAAACGGAGUGGUUGCUGCGAAACCCUAGCCGCAUACAGAGAAUAAAGAGGAGUAGGAGAACCAAAGCAAUUGCUGCGAAAACCCCAAGCAUUUUCAGAGACGAAAAAAAGUGUGGAAAUAGAAUCUCCCAUAAUAAGCAGAGACUAGAUCACAUUCUUCAUCACAUCGUUUUCAUCAUUUUAAUGGGUUGAGACUCGAAAGGGCCAAGAGACAUGCCCCCUCAAUCUUCAGGUUGUUUAUUUGGAAGUUUUGAUGGCAUGAGUGGAGUCGGAAAAAAAUAAAAUAAGCUAAGUGAAGGAGCUCAGCCUAGCUAUAUGGUAUUUUGUGGGUAAAAAGACGUAUUUACCCUCCGUUGCUCUACCUGUUUCGAAACAUGCUGAGAUCUCUCAUCUCUCUCACCAAAGGCUCUACCUGGACGCUUUAACAGCAGAGUUGACUACCUCUCUCCGGCGGCUCAUUCCGGCGGAACUGUUACGGAAGACCAAGUAGCCGAUCAUCGAGGAGAUAGAAAGUCAUCUGCUUGGUCUGUGUAUAGUAAUAUGGCUUCCUCUUUUUCCACUGCCACGUCGACAUGGCCACAACGCAUGUGUGCUUGUGGCUAUGGCCAUUGUUUUGUGAAGGUAUCCAGAUCUCACAAAAAUCCUGGUCAUGCAUAUUAUGUUUGCCCUCGGCCCGUGGGAGACGAAGCCUCGACCAUGACUCUAGGUCAAUCGAUGUCAUGCAGUAACGGGCUGAUGUCGUGCACAUUUUUAAUACGUUGCGUGUAUGAAAACUGUGAUUUGUGUGUUGUGCAUCAUGGUCAUCAUCUUAUUAUUGCAAAUGUAAAUCCCGUAAAUCAUUAGCCUUGUACAUAAGUACUGUUUUGAAGUACUAUUUUGAACAAGUAACUGCAUUGUGAUUUUUUGUAUGUAAACGCUACAUGUUAGUAAUUAUCGUACUACUUUUUAUAAAAAUGUGGAAGUUCGCUUUUACAUAUUAUUCAUAGUUUAUUGUCUGAAAUGUAUUCAUCGACUGGGUUCUAAUGUAUACAAUGCGUCCUCUCACAUUAGUCGAAUGGUUGCAACACAGUUGUCCCCUCGCACCCCGUCUAAGAAUAAAGGGGUUGGCCCAUCAGGUACCGAAGGAAUUGUUGAUGACUUUGAUCAUGCACAUAUGGCGAACUGGGACAGUGUAGCGACAGAAAUCUUCCUACAGUGUUAGGGAUGCAAUAUUAGCGGGCCGGCGAGUAGGUACAACCAUAACCAAAACAGGGUAUAAUGAAAUUGCACUAAAAUUCGCUAAGCACACGGGUAGACGUCAUAAAAUUACACAGCUGAAGAACAAGUACGGCAGUUUGAAAAAGGAAUGGAAGGCUUGGAACAAGUUGAUGGAUAGUAGUAAGGGUGUGACUGGCAUUGGGUUUGACAGGGAAACCGGGGGGUUCACAGCGUCGGAAGAGUGGUGGGACAAUCUUAAAUUUACAAACAAGAUAGCUUACAAAUUCAAGACGAAACCAUUGGAGCAUGAAGAGUUGAUGCGCGAAGUAUUCACAGGUGCAACUGCGACUAACAAACACCAUUGGACGCCGGGGGAGAAGGCUAUGGAUGUUGGCGAAGGUGAAUCCGAGUCAAUGGACUCUCCUGGGCUGGUACCAUUUACCGAGCCAUACACCGGUCGUUAACUCACCUCCAAACUCCUCCACCGUCCACCUUGAAGUGGCUGACCCCGGGACAAAGAGGAAAAAGGGAGGUAGCACUAGUGGAAAGUCGAAGAUCUCUAGUGGAGCAUCAGUGCUUGCGGAUAAUUUUAACCAUUUGUCUAACGUGGUUCAAGCAUAGAAGCACCUGACGGUCAGGCACGGAACCGGUGCAUCGCAGAAGUAUGGCAUUGAGCCAUGUAUGUAGCGGCUUAUGGCUAUCUCGGACCUCAUCAGUACCCCCCUGUUCCAUUUCGCCUGCAUUGCGUUAGAGAACGCGGAUUACCGGGAAAUAUUGAUGUGCAUGCUAGAUGAUGAGAAUGUAGUUGGUUGGCUUGCGGCAUUACAGGCUUCAAAAGGCCUGUGAGGACUUGGGUUUGGUCUUUCAUGCAAAAAUGGGACUUGUUUGGUUUUGUUGCAGUGCGGUUUUUGUGGACUAGUUCUGUGGGAGUCAUCAACAAGUAAUGUGGAAAGGUGAAAGUAGCAACUAUAGAAAUUACGAUUACGUGAUUUCAUCAAACAUGCUGAGGAAGAAGAAGACCUACAAAACAGCGUAAUCGGUGACGCUACGCAGCAUGCAAUGGAAUAUUACUUGAAGUACAUGGAGAAGAUCACAUGCUGAACUUCUAUUCUAACCGGUCGUACCUGGAUUCAAGAAUUAUUUGAUGGGCACUAUUUGAUGGGCACGUAGGCAGGGGUGAACAAAAUUUGCAUAUGCUGCUGUAUGUGUUUCAAGCGUUAUGUGACACAUUGCGAAGCGACUUCGGUUUACGGGUACCUACAAGACCCCAUGGAUUACACAUUGAAGAAAGUGUUGCGAUGAUCAUCCAUACGUUGGACGGCUGCACUAACCAAAAAAUUCAGGAACGAUUCCAACACUUGGGAGAAACUGUAUCGCGACAUUUCCAUGCAGUGUUGGAAGCAAUGAAGUUGUUCACAAAAGUGCAUUGUAAGCCCACCAGAGAUCAAAAUAAUAGGCAUCCAUAUUUGCGAUUUAGAGGGAAAUACGUGCCUUUCAAGGUUAGCAUAUUAGUUGUCGUUAUCAAUUACUUUUCAUUUUAUGUGAUGUAUGUGAACCUCAUGUGAUGUACGUUAUUGGUGUAACAUUGUAUUGGAGCGUUGACGGUACUCAUGUAGAAGCCGUGUUGCUUGCCCGUGAUGCCGGCACAUAUUACGGUCGCAAAUGAUAUCCCACCCAAAACAUACUAGCCGUAUGUGACUUCGACAUGUGUUUCAUUUUCAAAUCUUGUGGUUGGGAAGGAAGCAUGCAUGACAGUUGCAUCUCCAAUGAAAUAAUUGAGAAUGAACAUGCACCGUUCCCGCACCCCCAAGAAGGUAAAUAUUACCUUGUGGAUGUGGGAUAUCCAAACAAGAAGGGGUAUUUGGCACCAUACAAAGGGUCUCGGUAUCACAAAGUACAGUUCCGGGAUCGUGGACGACCUGAUAACCCAAGAGAAUUGUUUAACCAGGCGCAUGCAUCAUUGAGGAGCGUGGUGGAAAGAACAUUUGGAGCGUGGAAAUCGCGCUGGAAGUUCCUAAACGACAUGCUCGAUUAUGAUUUUGCGACGGUGUAGGUGCUAUUGGUUGGUGCGUCAAUAGCCUUACACAAUUUCAUUCGUAGGCACGAGAUAGCUGCUAAUGCAAACAACCAACAUGUCAGUUGUUUCUCAAUGCCAGAUGACAUGCCCACCGUGGAAAGAGGACAAAAUAUUGAUGAUGGCCUCAUGGUUGGGGAUACAGAUGUAGAUAUGACCAGAGUUCGCGUGCGCAUCCGUGACCAUUUGUUUCACAUACGGAAUCAAGGACUGUUGUGAAAUGUUUGGUGCCUAAUUUGCAUGUUUGUGCAAUUUGUAAUUUCUAUUUUCGCAUUGCAAUGUGACUGUAACAAAUUAUUUAAAUUUGUAAUUCGGGUAAGGACAAUGCAAUUAUGUUGAAAAAUUUGCUAUUUUUUUAAGUACUACAUCUUAUCAUUUACUAUUUAAA